GACGAACGCUGGCGGCGGGCUUAACACAUGCAAGUCGAACGGAAAGGCCCUGCUAUUGUGGGGUGCUCGAGUGGCGAACGGGUGAGUAACACGUGAGUAACCUGCCCUUGACUUUGGGAUAACUUAAGGAAACUGGGGCUAAUAUCGGAUAGGAGCUCAUGCUGCAUGGUGGGGGUUGGAUAGUUUCUGCGGUUGGGGAUGGACUCGCGGAUUAUCAGCUAGUUGGUGGGGUAGUGGUUUACCCAGGCUUUGACGGGUAGCCGGCCUGGGAGGGUGACCGGCGACAUUGGGACUGAGAGACGGCCCAGACUCCUACAGGAGGCAGCAGUGGGGAAUAUUGUACAAUGGUCGGAAGCCUGAUGCAGCAACGCCGCGUGCGGGAUGACGGCCUUCGGGUUGUAAACCGCUGUCGCCUGUGACGAAGCGUGAGUGACGGUAAUGGGUAAAGAAGCACCGGCUAACUACGUG
rnacentral:rRNA from 1 species